CAAUAGCGUAUAUUAAAGUUGCUGCAGUUAAAAAGCUCGUAGUUGGAUUUCUGGUUGAAGCGACCGGUCGGGCGUUGAUUCGUCUGCACUGGAGUCGGUUUUGGCCAUCCUCUAGGAAAGUGCGUCUGGUAUUAAGUUAUCGGGCGUAUGAUCCUGGUCUUUUACUGUGAAAAAAUUAGAGUGUUUAAAGCAGGCCUUCGCCUUGAAUACAUUAGCAUGGAAUAAUAAGAUAGGACUUUGGUCUAUUUUGUUGGUUUGCAGACCGAAGUAAUGAUUAAUAGGGAUAGUUGGGGGUAUUUAUAUUCCGAUGUCAGAGGUGAAAUUCUUAGAUUUUCGGAAGAUAAACUUAUGCGAAAGCAUUUACCAAGGAUGUUUUCAUUAA
rnacentral:rRNA from 1 species